UACGUAUGGGGCAAGCGUUAUCCGGAUUUACUGGGUGUAAAGGGAGCGCAGGCGGCCUGGCAAGCCUGAUGUGAAAUACCGGGGCCCAACCCCGGGGCUGCAUUGGGAACUGCCAGGCUGGAGUGCCGGAGAGGCAGGCGGAAUUCCUAGGGUAGCGGUGAAAUGCGUAGAUAUUAGGAGGAACACCAGUGGCGAAGGCGGCCUGCUGGACGGUGACUGACGCUGAGGCUCGAAAGCGUGGGGAGCAAACAGG
rnacentral:rRNA from 1 species